UGGGGAAUAUUGCACAAUGGAGGGAACUCUGAUGCAGCGACGCCGCGUGAACGAAGAAGGCUUUCGAGUCGUAAAUUUCUUUUAUAUGGGAAGAUAAUGACGGUACCAUAAGAAAAAGCCCCGGCUAACUACGUGCCAGCAGCCGCGGUAAUACGUAGGGGGCUAGCGUUGUCCGGAAUCACUGGGCGUAAAGGGUUCGCAGGCGGAAAUGCAAGUCAGGUGUAAAAGGCAGUAGCUUAACUACUGUAAGCAUUUGAAACUGCAUAUCUUGAGAAGAGUAGAGGUAAGUGGAAUUUUUAGUGUAGCGGUGAAAUGCGUAGAUAUUAAAAAGAAUACCGGUGGCGAAGGCGGCUUACUGGGCUCAUUCUGACGCUGAGGAACGAAAGCGUGGGUAGCAAACAGG
rnacentral:rRNA from 1 species